rnacentral:rRNA from 1 species
UACGUAGGGUGCAAGCGUUGUCCGGAAUUAUUGGGCGUAAAGAGCUCGUAGGCGGCUCGUCGCGUCGGCUGUGAAAACCUGAGGCUCAACCUCAGGCCUGCAGUCGAUACGGGCGGACUUGAGUACUGCAGGGGAGACUGGAAUUCCUGGUGUAGCGGUGAAAUGCGCAGAUAUCAGGAGGAACACCGGUGGCGAAGGCGGGUCUCUGGGCAGUAACUGACGCUGAGGAGCGAAAGCGUGGGGAGCGAACAGG